rnacentral:tRNA from 1 species
UGCCCCUUCGUCCAAUGGCAGGACAGCCGCCUUUGGAGCGGCGAAUGGUGGUUCGAAUCCACCAGGGGCAA